rnacentral:rRNA from 1 species
GCCAACCAUACCACGUUGAAAACACCGGUUCUCGUCCAAUCACCGAAGUUAAGCAACGUCGGGCGCGGUCAGUACUUGGAUGGGUGACCGCCUGGGAACACCGCGUGACGUUGGCU